UGUGUAACAAGUGGAGCGUGUUUA
rnacentral:miRNA from 1 species